CUCACAGCCGCACGACCCACGAUCCAAUCCCAUCUUCCCACCUCUAGCGCUCCGCCACUCCUGCCACGCCCCACCGCCGGUAUCCGCCCCGCUGCCGCGCGCCGCCAACCCCGCCCCUACCACUACCCCAAGUCCCCACCCUCACAGCCUUCCACCGCCAGCGACACUCCACGCUGCGGCCAUUGCCGGCUCCCCCAGCCCCUGCUACCACGGCGCCGUCGGGAAUCCUCCCCGCCACCUGUUGGAACCGCCCGCCUGGCUCCCGCUGUGAACAUCACCGCCACCUCUCUAUCGAUUCCUGCCCCAGUGGAUGGUCUCCUCCACCUGCGCUCGCAUCCUCAGACUUUGACGAAAAACAAGCCGGCAUCCUGCAGUUCGCCGGUGUUUCGUCAGCCGGUCCUACGCUUUCAGGUGUCUGAGGCAGGAAGGGUUAUUAGAAUCCAUGAGGAGCAGCAAGAUGCAGCAACCAUUGCCGGCCUAGCUGCUUAUAGGGACAACCACACGGUGUAUUAGUGUCUCGAUCUAAUUCAUUUAACCACACAUAUCAUCCAUGGAUUGGAGAGAGUGAGAGGCCCAAGAUAAUCCACAGGUAUAAUGGUGCAAUUCACACAAAUGAACAAGCUUAACAAGAUUGCGUGCAAGGUACUCAAAUGAUUUGAAUUUCAAGCUCUUCUUUUUUCUUGGUUACCAGUCUGCAGUAGAUGAUAAAUAUUGGUGCUCACUUUCUCCACAAUAAUCAGAUUUUUACAGAAAACUAAUAGCUGGUUUCAUUGAACAGAUCUUGCACGGUUUGCUAUUUAUCUAAUAGUUAGUUUGGUAUGUCUUUGAGAAACAGUAGGCAUUUUUACUAGAUGUAUUUUAUUUUUGUGUUUUUGAUAAUGUACACAACCAUGGCAGUUUCUUCUGGAAUAUUGUUGCUUUCACAAUAAUAAGUUUGAUAACGGUCAUAAGCAUGGCAUUCUUACUAUGAUGCAACAAUGUGCAGCUAGCUAGGUGUAGCUAAUACAAUAAGUUUGCUUUUCACUUCAGAAUUCAGAGGAACUCAGCGUUUGUUUUAUAGUUCAAACCAAUUACUUGUAUAUUCCAAAACGAUAUUGUCUCGUGGUACUAGGUUAUCAAAAUAUAAUGUUCACCAUGGCCAAAGGAAAAUUUCAUUCAGGGUAUUAGUUUGUUUCAUCCACCAAGACAAACAGCUGGUGGUAUAUGGUGAUGAGAUGGGCUUCUUCAGCUCUUUAUUUGGCAGUUCUUUUUUCGAUUCCCCUCUCUAUUGUCAUGAAAUUUCAGCAAUACAGAUUUGUGAUCUUGUCAGGUAAUCAUGCUGAUUGAGAAAGAAAUGGUACCCCAGGACUAUCUAUUGUACUAAUAUUCAGAAAAAAUGUUUAAUAAAAUGGUCUUCUGUAGGUUACAAACCAAAGCUUGCUUGUUUGCAUACACUCUGGUGCUCCAGUUAAAGAUGGAAAGCUAUAACGUACUGUGUUGAGUAACCAUCAGUUGCUGAAUCCAUUCUCUUGUGAAUACUACUACUGUAUCUCUCUCAUCUCUUGUGUUGAGUGAGCGCUUGCGAUGGGACAUAAAAGAACAAAGAGCACAAGAAGUGUACAAAUGAAGUAACAAUGAGCUAAUGUAGAGCGGCCGACGAUCAGAUGAUUUCGGGUCUGUGCUAGCUAUUUCUCAUUUUGAAGCUAUUCCUUCAGGACACAUGAUUGCACUACAUUACAAGUUGAAAAAAUGUGCAAAGUUGAAGUUGGUACUAAAGAGGAUUGCUCUUUUUGAUCCGCAUUAUGUGACAUUCAUAUUUCAGUCAUAAUAUGUGCCAUUCAAGUAGAAACACAAACUAGGACAUGCAAGAUUUGUUUCUCCCGUUGCAACGCACGGGCCCUUUUGCUAUCUUUCCCUAAUCUAUCCCUAAUAAUAAAGUGCGGAUUGAGUCCU